UGAACAGAGAAAUAUCGAUCUACGGUACAUAUAUAGAGAAGUGGAGAGUAAAUAAGAUUUCCACUUACAGUAUUUACUUUUACAAAACAAAAAAAGAACAAAAAAAAAAGAUUGCCAUUCAUUUAAUUUGUUUGGCAAUACAUGUAAUGAAUUGUGUGUAGUCGAAGGACGAAUUGAAAUCCAGACAUAUCUCACAUGGUGUUGUAUCGG
rnacentral:lncRNA from 1 species